CAAUAUUGAACAAAGGGGCCAAAGUUCUCAUCCUCAAAAGGCUUACACUCUAGCAUGGGAGUCAGAUAAUUUUGAAAAAUUCAGCAGCACAAGACAUCAAACGUUAGUAAGUCCUAAGUGCCAAGGAGAGAUGAUACGCAGAGAGGAGAGAUAAGAAAUGUUGGAGACAAUUCCAAGGAGGAGCAGAGGCUCCAAGGGAGCACGAUGCGGCAGGGAAGUGCCAGGAGGACAAGUGGAUAGAGUUGAGGGUAGAGGCACCCACACCGGACAGAGCCAUCAGGUCUACCGUGGGGACUCGGGCUUUCACUCUGGGGGCAAUGAGGAGCCCUGGAGGCUUCAAGAAAGGGGGUGUGGUGACUCCCUGGUCACAGUCACAGCAGGAUCAUUCACUUUGCCAAGAACAGAUUAAGGGGGAAGCAAACAAGUGGGAACAGACACCACCAGUCAGGAACCCUCUGAUGUUCCCAGGAGGGAGAUGAUAAUGCCGGCACAGGUGCACCAGUGGCCAUACGAGUCUGCGGUAGAGGCUGCAAGAUUCACUGACAGAUCACAUCUGGGACGUCAGAGGAAAAGAAGGGGUCAAAAAUGAGCCCACGCAACUGAUUCGGCCAACUUUAUUUGUAAAACAAGGAAAUAAAAGCUCACUUCUCUUUAAAAAAAAAAAAAAAAGAGCCCAAGAUUUCUGGCCUAAGCACCUA